CUGGCACCAAGGUGGAAGGCGAUGCAGUGCAUAAUGUGUACUGUACCAUGGGACAGGUUGUUCAUUUAUGUUUCUUGUAUUAACCAUCCGUUUCGUAUUUGAUACGAGCGAUUGGUACGAGUAUUCUUGAAAUCCGUGAACUGGGAACGACGAGGGUGUCGUUGCCGCCAGGCAUUGAAUGAAGCAGCCUGGAUUGUAUCUUCGUGUCUUCGAUGUUGUCGCAUUCCAGUGCGUUAAUCGUCAACCCUGCCCGGUAUUGCGGAGCUCAAAGGACGCUUAACUACAGUAUACAGCUCAAGAACCAAGCACCACGCCUUCUUCUGCUUCUUUCUUUCUUGCUUUCUUUCUAUUUUUCUCUUCAGCGCCACACCCAAGAUGGC
rnacentral:sRNA from 2 species